CAAUAGCGUAUAUUAAAGUUGUUGCGGUUAAAAAGCUCGUAGUUGGAUUUCUGCUGAGAACGACCGGUCCGCCCUCUGGGUGUGUAUCUGGCUCUUUCUUGGCAUCUUCUUGGUGAACGUUGCUGCACUUGACUGUGUGGAGCGCUACCCAGGACUUUUACUUUGAGGAAAUUAGAGUGUUUCAAGCAGGCAUACGCCUUGAAUACAUUAGCAUGGAAUAAUAAGAUAGGACCUCGGUUCUAUUUUGUUGGUUUCUAGAGCUGAGGUAAUGAUUAAUAGGGAUAGUUGGGGGCAUUCGUAUUUAACUGUCAGAGGCGAAAUUCUUGGAUUUGUUAAAGACGGACUACUGCGAAAGCAUUUGCCAAGGAUGUUUUCAUUG
rnacentral:rRNA from 1 species